GACGAACGCUGGCAGCGUGCUUAACACAUGCAAGUCGAGCGGUAAGGCCCUUUCGGGGGUACGACGAGCGGCGAACGGGUGAGUAACACGUGGGUGACCUGCCCUCAGCUCUGGGAUAAGCCCGGGAAACUGGGUCUAAUACCGGAUAUGACUUCAUGACGCAUGUUGUGGAGUGGAAAGCCUUGUGCGGCUGAGGAUGGGCCCGCGGCCUAUCAGCUUGUUGGUGGGGUGAUGGCCUACCAAGGCGACGACGGGUAGCCGGCCUGAGAGGGCGACCGGCCACACUGGGACUGAGAUACGGCCCAGACUCCUACGGGAGGCAGCAGUGGGGAAUAUUGCGCAAUGGGCGAAAGCCUGACGCAGCGACGCCGCGU
rnacentral:rRNA from 1 species